GCUGGCGUCUGGCCUGGUCAGGGGCCAUGCCGGCCUCGCAGGCGGCGUUGAUUCCCAAGCGCAGAGCGCGAGUUCAAUUCUCGUCACCCGCUCCA
rnacentral:tRNA from 1 species